rnacentral:rRNA from 1 species
UACAGGGGGUGCAAACGUUGCUCGGAAUCAUUGGGCGUAAAGCGCACGUAGGCGGUUCGUUAUGUCGGAUGUGAAAGCCCUUGGCUUAACCGAGGAAGUGCAUCCGAAACUGGCGAGCUAGAGUACUAAAGAGGAUCGCGGAAUUCCCGGUGUAGAGGUGAAAUUCGUAGAUAUCGGGAGGAACACCAGUGGCGAAGGCGACUUCCUGGCCUGUUCUUGACGCUGAGGCGCGAAAGCUAGGGGAGCAAACGGG